rnacentral:rRNA from 1 species
UGCAGGGUAUAGACCCGAAACCCGGUGAUCUAGCCAUGGGCAGGUUGAAGGUUGGGUAACACUAACUGGAGGACCGAACCGACUAAUGUUGAAAAAUUAGCGGAUGACCUGUGGCUGGGGGUGAAAGGCCAAUCAAACCGGGAGAUAGCUGGUUCUCCCCGAAAGCUAUUUAGGUAGCGCCUCGUGAAUUCAUCUCCGGGGGUAGAGCACUGUUUCGGCUAGGGGGCCAUCCCGGCUUACCAACCCGAUGCAAACUGCGAAUACCGGAGAAUGUUAUCACGGGAGACACACGGCGGGUGCUAACGUCCGUCGUGAAGAGGGAAACAACCCAGACCGCCAGCUAAGGUCCCAAAGUCAUGGUUAAGUGGGAAACGAUGUGGGAAGGCCCAGACAGCCAGGAUGUUGGCUUAGAAGCAGCCAUCAUUUAAAGAAAGCGUAAUAGCUCACUGGUCGAGUCGGCCUGCGCG